AUUGAACGCUGGCGGCAGGCCUAACACAUGCAAGUCGAGCGGAUGAAGGGAGCUUGCUCCUGGAUUCAGCGGCGGACGGGUGAGUAAUGCCUAGGAAUCUGCCUGGUAGUGGGGGAGAACGUCCGGAAACGGGCGCUAAUACCGCAUACGUCCUGAGGGAGAAGGUGGGGGAUCUUCGGACCUCACGCUAUCAGGUGAGCCUAGGUCGGAUUAGCUAGUUGGUGGGGUAAAGGCCUACCAAGGCGACGAUCCGUAACUGGUCUGAGAGGAUGAUCAGUCACACUGGAACUGAGACACGGUCCAGACUCCUACGGGAGGCAGCAGUGGGGAAUAUUGGACAAUGGGCGAAAGCCUGAUCCAGCCAUGCCGCGUGUGUGAAGAAGGUCUUCGGAUUGUAAAGCACUUUAAGUUGGGAGGAAGGGCAGUAAGUUAAUACCUUGCUGUUUUGACGUUACCAACAGAAUAAGCACCGGCUAACUUCGUG
rnacentral:rRNA from 1 species